CUACGGGGCGCUCCAGUGGGGAAUAUUGCACAAUGGAGGAAACUCUGAUGCAGCAACGCCGCGUGGAGGAUGACACUUUUCGGAGCGUAAACUCCUUUUAUAUAGGAAGAUGACGGUACUAUAUGAAUAAGCGCCGGCUAACUCCGUGCCAGCAGCCGCGGUAAUACGGAGGGCGCAAGCGUUACUCGGAAUCACUGGGCGUAAAGAGCGUGUAGGCGGAUUAAAAAGUCAGAAGUGAAAUCCUAUAGCUUAACUAUAGAACUGCUUCUGAAACUCUUAAUCUAGAAUAUGGGAGAGGUAGAUGGAAUUUCUGGUGUAGGGGUAAAAUCCGUAGAGAUCAGAAGGAAUACCGAUUGCGAAGGCGAUCUACUAGAACAUUAUUGACGCUGAGACGCGAAAGCGUGGGGAGCAAACAGGAUUAGAUACCCGUGUAGUC
rnacentral:rRNA from 1 species